rnacentral:rRNA from 1 species
UACGUAGGGUGCGAGCGUUAUUCGGAAUCACUGGGCGUAAAGGGCGCGUAGGCGGCCUGGUAAGUCAGGGGUGAAAUCCCACGGCUCAACCGUGGAAUUGCCUUUGAAACUGCUGGGCUUGGAUCCUGGAGAGGGUGGCGGAAUUCCUGGUGUAGGAGUGAAAUCCGUAGAUAUCAGGAGGAACACCGGUGGCGAAGGCGGCCGCCUGGACAGGUAUCGACGCUGAGGCGCGAAAGUGUGGGGAGCAAACAGG